AACAGGAUUAGAUACCCUGGUAGUCCACGCCGUAAACGAUGUCGACUUGGAGGUUGUGCCCUUGAGGCGUGGCUUCCGGAGCUAACGCGUUAAGUCGACCGCCUGGGGAGUACGGCCGCAAGGUUAAAACUCAAAUGAAUUGACGGGGGCCCGCACAAGCGGUGGAGCAUGUGGUUUAAUUCGAUGCAACGCGAAGAACCUUACCUGGUCUUGACAUCCACAGAACUUUCCAGAGAUGGAUUGGUGCCUUCGGGAACUGUGAGACAGGUGCUGCAUGGCUGUCGUCAGCUCGUGUUGUGAAAUGUUGGGUUAAGUCCCGCAACGAGCGCAACCCUUAUCCUUUGUUGCCAGCGGUCCGGCCGGGAACUCAAAGGAGACUGCCAGUGAUAAACUGGAGGGAGGUGGGGAUGACGUCAAGUCAUCAUGGCCCUUACGACCAGGGCUACACACGUGCUACAAUGGCGCAUACAAAGAGAAGCGACCUCGCGAGAGCAAGCGGACCUCAUAAAGUGCGUCGUAGUCCGGAUUGGAGUCUGCAACUCGACUCCAUGAAGUCGGAAUCGCUAGUAAUCGUGGAUCAGAAUGCCACGGUGAAUACGUUCCCGGGCCUUGUACACACCGCCCGUCACACCAUGGGAGUGGGUUGCAAAAGAAGUAGGUAGCUUAACCUUCGGGAGGGCGCUUACCACUUUGUGAUUCAUGACUGGGGUGAAGUCGUAACAAGGUAACC
rnacentral:rRNA from 1 species